rnacentral:tRNA from 2 species
CGGAUGUAGCCAAGUGGAUCAAGGCAGGG